UGCUAACUUGAAGUAGCUUAUGUGCUUACUACUUUUCUACUGGAUUCUGUGCAACUAAAUAUCCAAAUGUAUUAUAUAGUUAUGUGCACUCUGGCUGAUUCCCUUUAUUCCUAGUUUAUAGUAGUCUGGUGUAUUAUAGCACACUAUUUAUGGGAUUUUUAAUCUAUUUUCAAUAAACCUUUAUUAUUUUUUCUAUACACGACUAGUGGGCAAAUCCUAUUUAUUGCUCUAUAGGG